AAACAAAAGGAGAACAGCUGAUCAAAACAUGACGGCAAUGCAAAAGUAUUAGCACGCGUUUUGUCAGGUUUGCUGUUUUCAGGGGAAAAAUAAUAUUUUUUCAACAAAAUAUACGCGGUGUCCGUUUGGAUCGUUGAAGUUUCCGAAAGCCUCAGAUAAGAUAUGAACUAUAGUCGGUGUUAAGACUGGAAGUUUAAAAAAAAUACCCCAGGACCUCACCAAAAACACAACCACCUCACUUGAACGUAACUAUAUAUAUGCUUCUUCCUUAAGGAAUUCCAGAGAGAGAUCCCCGCUUUAAGGAUUUUGUAAUCCCUUUAAUGCGGAAGAAGGUGUCAAAACUGUGCAGCAUGAACUGUUUACAAAACUACCUGCAAACCCACUACAUCCGCCAACAUCACCAACACAGGAACAAAGCCGAUUUUCAUUUCUACAAGUCAAAAGCCAUUAUCCUGAUGAGACAACAUUUUGAAAAAGAGAACCAGUCGGAAAAAUGCGACCCGUACUGGCAGAUUACUACAGAUGGCGACGCGUUUAAAACGUUAGCUAAAAAAUAGUUCUGCGUUCCCGCAUCUUCGUGCGAAUCUGAAAGAGUUUUCAGUAAAGCUGGACAACUUACUAUAAGUGAGCGUCGCACGAGUUACCUUCUCU